rnacentral:rRNA from 1 species
GGAGAAAAGUAGGGGAUCGCAAGACCUUGCGCUCUUUGAGCGGCUGAUGUCUGAUUAGCUAGUUGGUGAGGUAAAGGCUUACCAAGGCGACGAUCAGUAGCUGGUCUGAGUGGACGACCAGCCACACUGGGACUGAGACACGGCCCAGACUCCUACGGGAGGCAGCAGUGGGGAAUUUUGGACAAUGGGGGAAACCCUGAUCCAGCCAUGCCGCGUGAGUGAAGAAGGCCUUCGGGUUGUAAAGCUCUUUCAGCCGGAACGAAACGGUCACGGCUAAUACCUGUGAUCACUGACGGUACCGGAAGAAGAAGCACCGGCUAACUACGUGCCAGCAGCCGCGGUAAUACGUAGGGUGCAAGCGUUAAUCGGAAUUACUGGGCGUAAAGCGUGCGCAGGCGGUUUUGUAAGUCAGAUGUGAAAUCCCCGGGCUUAACCUGGGAACUGCGUUUGAAACUACAAAGCUAG